CUGAACAUAGCUUAAUAAAGCACCUCGCUUACACCGAAAGGAUGUCUGCUAAACCCAGACUGUUCCGAG
rnacentral:tRNA from 1 species